CGGAGGAUCCAAGCGUUAUCCGGAUUUAUUGGGUUUAAAGGGUGCGUAGGCGGCUUUUUAAGUCAGGGGUGAAAGACGGUAGCUCAGCUAUCGCUGUGCCCUUGAUACUGAAGAGCUUGAAUGUACUUGAGGUAGGCGGAAUGUGAUAAGUAGCGGUGAAAUGCAUAGAUAUGUCACAGAACACCAAUUGCGAAGGCAGCUUACUAAAGUAUGAUUGACGCUGAGGCACGAAAGCGUGGGGAUCAAACAGGAUUAGAUACCCUGGUAGUCCACGCCCUAAACGAUGAACACUCGAUGUUGGCGAUAUACGGUCAGCGUCUAAGCGAAAGCGUUAAGUGUUCCACCUGGGGAGUACGCCCGCAAGGGUG
rnacentral:rRNA from 1 species